GAUGAACGCUAGCGAUAGGCUUAACACAUGCAAGUCGAGGGGCAGCACAAGGUAGCUUGCUCUCUGGGUGGCGACCGGCGCACGGGCGCGUAACGCGUAUGCAACUUGCCCUAUACAGGAGGAUAACCCGUCGAAAGACGGACUAAUACUGCGUAUGCUCACAACUUGGCAUCAAGUGGUGAGGAAAGAAAUUCGGUAUAGGAUAGGCAUGCGUCCCAUUAGCUUGUUGGUGAGGUAACGGCUCACCAAGGCAACGAUGGGUAGGGGAACUGAGAGGUUUAUCCCCCACACUGGUACUGAGACACGGACCAGACUCCUACGGGAGGCAGCAGUGAGGAAUAUUGGUCAAUGGGCGCGAGCCUGAACCAGCCAAGUCGCGUGAAGGAUGACUGUCUUAUGGAUUGUAAACUUCUUUUAUACGGGAAUAACAAGAGUCACGUGUGACUCCCUGCAUGUACCGUAUGAAUAAGCAUCGGCUAACUCCGUG
rnacentral:rRNA from 1 species